rnacentral:rRNA from 1 species
AGGUAGUAAUGAUUCAAACAAACCUAAUUACAUUGGCGGCAUUUUAUCUAUUUAGAGGAACUUGUUCUAUAAUCGAUAACCCACGAUAAUUUUUACUUUUUUUAAAAAUUUAUAUACCGCCAUCUAUAUGAAUUAAUUUAAUAAUAAAUUCAAAAUAAUAUUUUAAAAGUUAGGUCAAGGUGUAAUCUAUAAUAAAGAAACUAAUGAGUUACUUUAAAAUUUAUUUAAGGAAUAUUAAACUAAAAUUUUCUAUAAAAAAGGAUUUAAAAGUAAAUAAAUAAUAAUAUUCUAAUUUGAAAAAGAAAAUAAAUGUGU